UAAAAUAGCCAUAUCACCCUGCAGUCCAAGACCAGUCUCUGAAGAUAAGCAGGACUGAGCCUGGUCAGUGUCUGGACGGUAGAUAACAUGGAAAAACUAGGUUGCUGUUGGAA
rnacentral:rRNA from 1 species